AAGCAAUUGACAUCCAAGAAGCUUCCUUGCAGACUUCCUUUUAUGUUUCAUGGCUAAAACUGGAUCAUAUGAAUACCCCUUGCUCCUAGAGAAGCUGGAAAAGCAUUAUUCUGGGAAGGGAUCUGAAGACUUCAACUGACUGUCAAAGAGAUUCUUGACAUGAAGAUUAGGAACCCCUGACGUCUCGGGCUGAAAAUUCAGAAAGUUCAUCAAAGCUGCCAAUCUGAUAGAGUCAGCACCAACAUGAAUGUCAACCAGAAACCUUUCAGCAGAAUGAAAAAUCAUUCAAUGGGGCAUUUGAAGCUUUUGUAAACAAACUGAAGACUGAGCUCAAAAUAGGGCCUUCUGUUUGCACCCUUGGGUCCACUCUUUACUCGUCUCCAUCCUGUUCUCUGCCCAGAAAUGACGGCCUGUGUGGAUGACAACAAAGGGCUUCUUUGCCCAGAGCGCUGGCUGCAGAGAAGAAGGAGGGAAAGAAGGGGUAUUUCUUUCCUGGCAACUUCACUGCUGGUUAUGGCAGGUUGGCUGUGUCCCUGCACUGGGAGUCCCAGCCCCCGCAGGCAGCCUUCCCGAGACGGCCUCUCUCCAAGUCCAGGAGGUCCUCGGAGCUCUCUGUGCCUUCACAGCUCAUGGUGGGCAGAGCUGCCUGCUCUCGCUAGUUCCAGAGAAUGACUCCCUCCAUGAAGGCAGAGACCAGCCCCACCCAGACCUCUGCAAAGAGUCUCUUUGUUAACCCUCUUCAGUCACCCCUUGUGUGUGUGUGCUUGCCCCUGCCACCACCCUCAGGGAGACCACGGAUACUUCUUGUUAAGAGGACUGCAACUGCCCUUGAACUGGCUCUUGCUUCCAAGCUUAUUUUAUACAAUCUUGCAAAGCACAUCUAUCUAAGGCACUGCUAAGACACUCAGUUGAGCCUCCACUGCAUAUAGGACAGCAUUCAAAUCGUCAUCAUUAGUUAUUCCUGAACUUUUAGCUUUGGUCAACGAAUUUGUUCUCCAUCUCUCAGAAAGAGGGUGCAAUUUUCUCCUUCCACGUGAUUGCUCACACAGUCAAUGAGCCUUUUCCACCCACUUCUGAAACCACACUCAUCCCUCAAGAUGCUCUUCUAACUUUGCCCUUUCCAGUUAGCCUUUCUUACCUGAUGUUCCACCGGGGUGUGAACUCUCACAGCAAUGCCUUUCUAUUCAGUUUGUUGGGAAAUCAAUCAGAUACCACCUCUGUAUAUGUCUUCUAGUGUCCUGGAAACAUUAUUUAAAUUUUAAAUUAUUUAUCUUUUCAAAAUCACUGGCUUUGGCACUAUGUCAUUUGGGCCUUCACUGUAGGCUUCAUCAACACUGGGAACAUACAUGUUAUUCACCUGGCCAAGCCUCCCUUUGCUGGAAAAUGAAAGGGUAACAGUGAUGCCUACCUUACAUGAUGGUGUGAGGGUUAAGUUAGCACACACAAAGCUCUUACUACAGAGUAUGGCAGAUGGAUACUAUUUCACUCCUCGUUUCCUGUCUUUCCUUCAACUGAGGCUCAAGACUAGCUAAUGUCUGUGAGUGCUGAGGAAGUGCCAUGUAUAACUGUGAACAUUUUGCCCAUAAUCAUUUAUAUACAACAAGCCUAGGUACUGUUAUUCCCCUUGUUUCAUAGAUGGAGAAACUGAGGUACAAAGGGGUUAAGAAACUUAUUCAAGGUUUCCCAGGACAUAAGACGGACACAUUAAUUCACACCUAGAUUACAGACUUUUUAAGGAAAAGACCCAUCUUACAAAAAUUUAUGUCAUUCACAGGGCCUAGCAGGAUGUCUUACAUAUAGACCAUAUUCAAUAAACGUUGAUUUCAUUCCAAGAGGCAGAGGCAAUUAAGCUAGUGUUGCAAUAGGCAGGGGACUAGAAAUGCAUAUGGUCAAAGCAGCAGAUGCUUCCACGAAGCAAGCAGUACCGUGCGCAGCUGAAAAAGAGCUAGGAGGCGAGGUCCUGGCUGCUGCUGAAAGCCAGAGAGCAGCCAGCCAGGAGCGAGGCAAGAAAGAGGAGGACCUGAGCUGGGAGGCCAGCAACGGUGGAAAGCUCUACAAAUGAAGCUUGAACUCUGCUCUCAGCAGUCCUCCCGGCCCUGAGGAGACAAUUGAUCUCACUCCAUCCUGUGGUUAUACCUAUACCACUUGAGCAUCUUUAAAAACACUUAGCCCAAACUGAUGGACCCUUGCCUUCUGCCUGCCUUACCUGGGCCACAAACCUCAGAGCUUUCUGGGAUUUCUGUUAACAGCCCAGCUCCCGGGAAUCGGUCUCCACCAACAUGACUGUCGCUCACCCUGAGCACGGGACACAUGGCCGAGCAUCUGGGAGGGGGCAGAUGGGCCAGGAGGGCUGGCGAGAGGCACAUGCUUUCAUUAGAACGGAUGUGCCACAGUAAAUCAUUUUGUAAACCUUCCCUCCCUUUCUUUCUGCAUAGCGACACAGAAGGGAAGACCAAUCACCCAAAGCACCAUAACGCUUUUGGAAAACGCUGAAGCUUGAGCCUGAGACACUUACUGACAUUUCCUUAAAUAUCUUUUUAAUAUCUUGGCCAGGUCAGGCAUACCAAUGGCAUUACAGAGCUUGCAAAUCAAUGCCCCAGCUGUUUUGGUUUUUUAAUAAAACU